GACGAACCGUGCAAACGUUGUUCGGAAUCACUGGGCUUAAAGGGCGCGUAGGCGGGCAAGCAAGUCGAAGGUGAAAUCCCACGGCUCAACCGUGGAAGUGCCCCCGAUACUGCUUGUCUUGAGGGAGAUAGGGGCGUGCGGAACUUCCGGUGGAGCGGUGAAAUGCGUAGAUAUCGGAAGGAACACCGGUGGCGAAGGCGGCCAUCUGGACGGAUACUGACGCUGAGGCGCGAAAGCGGUGGGUAGCAAACAGG
rnacentral:rRNA from 1 species